GCUGUGGUGCAGGCUGGCAGGGCAGGAGCUGACCUUUCCGGAAUGGAAUGCUGCCUGAGCAGUCAGCUCCAGAAGGGAAGGGGGCGUUGGGCCACUUUCCUCGCCCUCUUCAGUCCUCAGGUCCCCUGAGACAGGUCUCGGAGCCCUGGCCUCUCUUCUGGGGAAGGGGGCAGGUGAGGCUGGCUGACUGUGUGGACACUUGCCCGAUCACUUCAAGUCAAGCCCCCUGGGCCAGGCUGAUUCCAACCCGACUAAGGAUAAGCUUCACAACAAAUCUAUGAAGCAGACAGACACUGUUUACCUCCUGGAGGCUAUCCAAGACCACACAGCUGGAACCAGGGUUUGCUCUACAGACCAUGGUCUCAGUGACGAUCACUCCUGCCUCCUGGGCAGGGACCACCCGAGGAACUGAGAAUGCUGGAAGCCAAGCUUGCACAUUCUAGGCAGCCAUUUGGAAGAUUCUUCUCUGCGCAUGAACAGCUGAAAAGGAAAAACCCCGAAACAUUGGCACUGUGAUUUCUCCAUGUGAACAGUUUAGUUCGCCAAGGUGGACACGCCUCAUUCAUGCUUAUGGGGUGACCGACCUGCCUUUAGUGACACCCCCUGAAAUGUGAGUCAUCUAUGGGUUACUAGUCAUUGGAGAAGAGCCCCUCACACAAAAAUUGGAGCUCAGACCACAAACAACAACAACAACAACAACAACAAUCCAAAAAAUAAAAAAACGAAAAAUUAGGAGCAGAGACUAAAUGGAAAGAUGGAAAUAUUAAAAUAAAAAUAUUA
rnacentral:lncRNA from 1 species